AGAAAAGAUGGACAGAAAGCAAUGGUCAUGGAAGAUUAACUGGCCCAAGGCUGCUCGUUCAACACUAAUAAAACCCCUUAAAAGGAGACUGUGUUUCUUGCUCCCAGGCAGUCUAGUCUAGAUGGCAUGAUGCUGACUCCACCAGUGCUGUACUCAAUUGUUUACGUUCACACUGACUCCGCCUAUGGAGGUUCUAGACAACGGCCUGAAUCAACAUUCUGGAUAUCCAAUGUUAUUCCAUACAUUAUAGCAUUCAAUGUGAUUACUGUCUAAAAUGGCUUUUGAAUAUAGGUUAGCAGACCUCUUCCAUAUUAUACAUGCAUUUAUACAUACAUACAUAAGGUCAUUAAUUUGCAUGAAGAUCAUAAGUUUUGACCACUGGGUGUCAGCCAAGCUCUAAACCAGGAUCGAGAAUGCCUCCUGAGGCUCUUGAUUUGUAGUUGAGGGGUCUGAAGACCUUGAAAUGGCUGUUGUGUAAUAAUAGGAGCGCAAUCAUGUUAUCUCAAUGGCACAUUUAUCUGAGUAAUGUUGUCACCUUCGAAAUGUUUAUUUUAUUCUACAGCACAGGUUAGUAGGCCUUUAGUCUAUUUUAAAGGAGGAGCACGCGAAUCAUGCGUCAUUCAUAUUCCGCUGGUUAAAGAAGUCUAGGUUCAAAAUGCUGCGAAAACGAACAUGGCCCUCACAUGCCCCCCAUUUUAAUUGUUUGUAAGCACUGCGGCACACUACGUUUUUUGUUGUUGUGGCUGCCAUGCUAGUGUGUGUGCGUUUUUUUUAGGGAGAGAACGGAAGAUAGGAGGGCGCACGUCCAAGGGGAACGAGGGAGGGACCUACACGAGAGCACAGAGGGGGAGGGAAGAUCAUUUCCUUUCUGUAGUGUACACGCCGCAAGAAUACACCGGGAUAAGGACGGAAAAAAAUAUAGGGAAGACGGUAAAGGAAAUACCGCAGCCCCGUUGUCUUUUGUUUUGGGAAUUCAUCUAACACAGAACGGAAGACUAACAUGGGGAGAUGGUUCUUAAGGAUUGACUUUCAAUAACCCUCUCCAUGCGAAAAAGUCUGGCGAGUAGACUGAAAAAGGCAAAAGCAGUCAGGGAAGACAUGUUUAGUGAUUUUAGUCCUGCGCUUGAGGUAGGAUGUUGAUGUUUUUUCAUAAAAUAUUUCUGUCUCUGGCACAAAUAAGGGGUCAACGGUGAAUGGGCAUAUUAUUCCAGGCACCGUAUCAUUAAGCAGUGUAGUUAAUUACUUAGGUUAAUAAAACGGUAAAAUAGCCUAGGCCUUCUGCAGACUGAAUAUUGCUUUAACGUUACAUGACUAACGUUAGUAGGCUAGGCCUAAACACAAGGCUAUGAACCGAUAAAUUAACGUUAACUACUAAUUUUGUAUAGAAUGUAUUUGUAAUCUGCAUCGUAUCAAUGGCUGUAAGAGCAACACAUUUUUAAAGAAACAAGUAAUUAGUUAUAUCGAAUUACUUGAUCAGAUUAUACACAUCUGAUCAUCUUUAAUAUCAAGGGUUUCAUAACAGGGACAGACUAUAUAAAAAACCCAAUCGGUUUCUUACAAACACAAUUUUGACCACAGAAAAGAGUUCGACAGAGGCCAAGGUAGAAAGGAUAGGUUAACAUUCUAGCACUAGACAGGGAACAUCAGGCGUUUUUAAAUGUUAAUGUCGACCGACGUAUCAUCAAUCAUGCUGCCUGUAUCUCGGGCUAUCAUGGACCGGGAUCGAGAGCUCCAGGACACAAUGGCCGGGGUGCACCCCAACUCGACCGGGGCUUCUGGCGCAGCUGUCCGGGGAAUGAAGCGAGGAGACCCAGCAUCUGACGCGCAGACGUCGACAGCUCUUGUGGAAUCGGCCGGGGCAGAGUGCAAGCGUCCCCGGAUUGACGCAUCUGGAGUAGUCGCAGAGGUCGGCCAGAACAAUGACCCCCUGACCCUUGGUUACCAUGGAUACCCAACCCACAGUCAGGGCUCUCAGGAUUCAGCAGGUGGUCAAGAGGGUCUCGUCCCCCCAUCCUUCUCCACCUUCCCCCCUCCUCCCCCUCCGCCCCCCCAGAACGGCUUGGCCCUGGAGUACGGGGCCAGUCUGUACGCCGCAGGGGCCAUCCAGGGGUCGGUGGAGGCCGGACAGGCAGGCCUUAACACCCCGACAAGUGUCCCAAACAGCUUAACCACCCACUCAGAUGUGUCGUCACAGAUUGAUACCCAGUUGGUGUGUACAGGAGGAGGUGGUGGCGGGGGGUCCGUAGGGGACGACUCAGAGAAGGGGACCCCCAAACGCCUCCACGUCUCCAACAUUCCCUUCCGCUUCAGAGACCCUGACCUCCGGCAGAUGUUUGGGCAAUUUGGAAAGAUCCUCGACGUAGAGAUCAUAUUCAACGAGAGGGGAUCAAAGGGUUUUGGCUUUGUGACGUUUGAGACGAGUGCAGACGCUGAGAAGGCCAGAGCCGCUCUCCACGGAACUCUGGUGGAAGGACGCAAGGUUGAGGUCAACAACGCCACAGCCAGGGUGAUGACCAAUAAGAAAAUGGUCACCCCAUAUUCUAAUGGAGGAGAGGGGCUCGCAGCUCUACCUUAUGGGCUACUAAAUGCCAACUCCCCUACAGCCGGGUGGAAGUUGAGUCCAAUGGUUGGAGCCAUGUACAGUCCAGAGCUCUAUACAGUCCCUGGCUUCCCGUACCCUGCGGCGGCUGCACAGGCUGCCACAGCGGCGGCGACCUUUAGGGGCGCCCACCUCCGGGGUCGUGGCCGGCCGGUCUACGGUGCUGUCAGGGCAGCCCUACCCCAGCAAGCUAUACCUACAUACCCAGGUGUGAUGUAUCAGGAAGGGUUUUACGGUGCAGCAGACCUCUAUAAUAGUGUUUCAGGACAUUAGUGGCAGAUUGCCCCAGGGUGGCUAUGCUGCGUAUCGCUACGCUCAGCCGACUGCGGUAGCUGGUCCUGCAGGAGCAGCGGCUGCCGCAGCAGCUGCCUACAGUGAUGGCUACGGACGGGUGUACACGACAGACCCUUACCACGCUGCACUAAACCCUGCUGCAGCCUAUGGUGUAGGAGCUAUGGCCACACUGUACAGGGGAGGCUACAGUAGAUUUGCGCCCUACUAAAGAUUUCCCAGGAGCUCUCUCAUCCUGUUUGAACAAUCUAUAAAAGAGCUCCCUCUGCUGUCCAGGAUGGAGAUUGCAACACGUUGACGCAAGUUUGUCGUCUACCAUGGAAACAUUUAUAUUUCAAAAUCUCCUGCUGUCCACUCUUUUUUCGCUUCAAACAAAAAUAGGAAUGCCGUUUUAAAGACUGGUAGAAAGCCUUGACAAAGAAAAGAAAAUAGAAAAAAAACUUGUAUUUGAACCAAAUGCCCGCUUGUUUCCAUUGCACGGCUGUAUUAUAGUCCCCCUGUUUCUCCCUCUCGACACUCUCAGCAGCACAAGACACAGAAUGGUCGCCCCCAGCUAGCGUACCUCCAGAGCCUAUCAUGUAACUGGUGUCCGGACCGUUAACUGAACACUGAGACAAACCCCCUACCACACGUAUAACAGCCAAGGUGUAAUGUGGCAUGUACUAUACACAACUCAUACAUCAAGAAUGGAGGUGGAGUCUAGUUAUGGAAGACAGAACUGUGACUGCCAGUGUCUGCAGGUCUGUGGAGCCUGAAUGAGUGAGAAACCACAGCAACCGAGCACCAGAAGCAUUUUGGAACAGAAAGACAAUUUUCAAACAAAGUGGAGGAUGUGACUCCAUGUUUCCUGUUGUGGGGUGAAGGAGUAUGAGAGAGGAAAUUACAUCAUCAUUGCAGAGAGAGAGGGGAUGGACUGAUGUUUUUUUUAACACUAUUAGAAAUGACUCACUUCAAACUGAGCAGUAAAAGGAUUAUCAUAGCUGUUCCUUACCUCAAAGUUUUCUUAGUCCGUGAAAAUGGCGAACCUUUAAAAAUUUAAUUGUUACAAUUAUGCAAAUAAAUUAGUUAGAGAAAAAAAGUUACCAAAUUAUUAUUAUUAUUGCUGAUUUAUAGCGUUGUCUUUAUUGCGUUAUUAUUGUUAGUUUCAGUGGUUCUCUGAGCACACCUCCACACACAUUUUCCACUUCCCUAGAAACGAUGUCUAGGGGCUAGGACUACAAGUGUAGAUAAUAUCUAUGUCAUUCACUACAGUGUAGAUAAUAUCUGUAAGUCAUUCACUACAGUGGGCAACACUACACGUCCCCUCUACAUAACACAAUAUUAUACCAAACUAAACUUCCAGUGCACAACAUCAUAUUCUCACAAGACGUCACGCUAUACACAUCACUCAGAACUAUAUAAUAUUUCAUCACUGCUAUCGAGUUACCGGCUGGCUUUUUUAUUGCAUUGUGAAUGUUAGGCUGAAACAUAUCACUGAUAUCAUUGAAACAACCAGAACCUAGUGUCCUAGAAUAAACUUCUUCAGUUAUUUCUUUGAAUAGUUAUGAUAGGGAUGUAUUAUUUGGCUAUAUGAUUGAUUUCCUUAACUUGUUCUGUCUUUUAGAAGAGCAGGUAAACAUCAAGUACAGUCUUCCUGAGAAUAGCUACGUUGGUAAUAGAUAGUGAGAUUCUGUCAACAGGCGUUGAAAGAGGGACACCAUCAAUAUGAAAAAUAUUUAAUGCAAAUACCAUACUAUUGUGCAUAUUUCUAUAUCCUUAUACUCUAUUUCCAAAAUGUGGUUGUUUUUGCCUUUUUUUUUGUUCCAAAGAUUUGUAGAAAAGCACACUUUUAGUCAUGUGUAUGAUAAAUAUAUUAUCGUUCUUGUGGUUAUUAUUAUAAGUGUGGUCUUUUUAUUUGUUGCAUUAGCUCGUUAUAUUUUUUCUAUUGGUAAAUGUUGUUCCUCAUAAAGUAAGGUGACAUUUUCAUUUCCUCCAUCAAGAUUAGUUGAAAUCUGAUAUUUUUUCCCCUCCUGUGUUGUUUUCUUGGGCAGAGGGGAAUGGACUCUUUAGUAGUUUCAAAGAGGGAGGGAACCAUAGAAGUAUACCACUAUGACAUCAGCCUAUCUAGUGUUCUAUAUCUAUGGCGCGAACAAAACGGGAAAGCAUGUAAAACUAAACUACCAAACUAAUUUCCCCAAAAAAUAUAGGGAAAGGCUGAAAUGUUUGGGUCUCACAAUUUAUUCCAAGUCCAAAGUUUACAGUAGACAAGAAUAUGUUGGAAUGAAUGGUGGCCUGACAAGCACUUCUUCUGACCUGGUGAAGUAAUCUAGUCACUCUGUCGUAGACAAAGACUGCUAACAUUUCAGUGCUGAAAUUUAGUCAGUUGAGGUUUAAAACGGAUGUGAAGAGUGUAGCGUUCGUGUGCUGUCUAGGUUAAAGGGCAUGCAGUUUUGAAUGAUCCAAGUAUACAAAAGGUUGUAUGUGUUAUCGUUUGGUUUGUACAAUGGUAAAUGUUUCAUAACAUUUUCUUUGUAAAACUACUAUGUGGGGCAUGAACUAAUUACUAUGAAACAAUAUUUCAAAAUGCUGCAGUCAUUGUUUAUUUUGAAAUGUUUGCUCUAUUUUUCAUUUUAUCUUCGGUUUUCUGGCUGUGCGUACCACUCUUCUCAGUGUGAACUUAAUCUAAGACCUCAACAGGGGUCAAACUCUUCUCUGGUCAUUUGACUUUAUCAUGUAUUGCAAAAGUGGACUGAAAUAUGAAUAACUGAAAAGAUGCAGCCAAAGAGUUAUUUAUGCCCUAUUUCUAUGGUUACCAAAUUGAGAAACGCAGAGCAAAGUGGAUAAAUGAUUGACAACCUAUUGAACCAAUCAACAUGGGCAACUAGCAUGAUGUCAUUCUCCAGGAAGUAGAGUUUGAGACCCCUGACCUAAAUGUCUUGCAUGAUUUUGAUUCUGUCUUUUGAGAUCAGACUCCAACAGCAUUUGGUUGCAGUAGUCAUCUUUUACCACUAAACUCCAUUGAGAAUGCUAGGCAGCUAGCCCUUUUUUAUGCUUAGGAUGCUAGUGUAGCAGAGAAGAGCACAGUGCUGUUUGUCAAAGACUCAGGCCCAGUGAUGGGCAAAACAAAAUGGCCGCCACAACGAGGCAAGAACACAAUGGCAACGUUCUAAUUUCCAUACCAGCAUAUUACUUUGAAUUCAUACCUUGAUACAGUGCUUCAUACUAAGUAGUAUACUUGUGUGGAUGUUGGAACAGAGCCAUGGAGUAGGCUCCUUGUAUUGUAUUAUACAGUGAGGUGGUUCUUCUUAAUCACUAUAGGUUUCAAAUAGAAGUGACUGUCCUUUUAUGAAUCUCUUCCCCUCUGUCAUGUUUAUCCCUUGGCUGCCAUUAUGCUAUUUUGUUAGUGAAUGUCCAUAUAAAAUCUUUUAUAUAAAAUA